rnacentral:rRNA from 1 species
GACGCUGGCGGCGUGCCUAAUACAUGCAAGUAGAACGCUGAAGAGAGGAGCUUGCUCUUCUUGGAUGAGUUGCGAACGGGUGAGUAACGCGUAGGUAACCUGCCUUGUAGCGGGGGAUAACUAUUGGAAACGAUAGCUAAUACCGCAUAACAAUGGAUGACCCAUGUCAUUUAUUUGAAAGGGGCAAAUGCUCCACUACAAGAUGGACCUGCGUUGUAUUAGCUAGUAGGUGAGGUAACGGCUCACCUAGGCGACGAUACAUAGCCGACCUGAGAGGGUGAUCGGCCACACUGGGACUGAGACACGGCCCAGACUCCUACGGGAGGCAGCAGUAGGGAAUCUUCGGCAAUGGGGGCAACCCUGACCGAGCAACGCCGCGUGAGUGAAGAAGGUUUUCGGAUCGUAAAGCUCUGUUGUAAGUCAAGAACGAGUGUGAGAGUGGAAAGUUCACACUGUGACGGUAGCUUACCAGAAAGGGACGGCUAACUACGUGCCAGCAGCCGCGGUAAUACGUAGGUCCCGAGCGUUGUCCGGAUUUAUUGGGCGUAAAGCGAGCGCAGGCGGUUUGAUAAGUCUGAAGUUAAAGGCUGUGGCUCAACCAUAGUUCGCUUUGGAAACUGUCAAACUUGAGUGCAGAAGGGGAGAGUGGAAUUCCAUGUGUAGCGGUGAAAUGCGUAGAUAUAUGGAGGAACACCGGUGGCGAAAGCGGCUCUCUGGUCUGUAACUGAACGCUGAGGCUCGAAAGCGUGGGGAGCGAACAGAAUUAGAUACCCUGUAGUCCACGCCGKUAACGAUGAGUGCUAGGUGUUGGAUCCUUUCCGGGAUUCAGUGCCGCAGCUAACGCAUUAAGCACUCCGCCUGGGGAGUACGACCGCAAGGUUGAAACUCAAAGGAAUUGACGGGGGCCCGCACAAGCGGUGGAGCAUGUGGUUUAAUUCGAAGCAACGCGAAGAACCUUACCAGGUCUUGACAUCCCGAUGCUAUUUCUAGAGAUAGAAAGUUACUUCGGUACAUCGGUGACAGGUGGUGCAUGGUUGUCGUCAGCUCGUGUCGUGAGAUGUUGGGUUAAGUCCCGCAACGAGCGCAACCCCUAUUGUUAGUUGCCAUCAUUCAGUUGGGCACUCUAGCGAGACUGCCGGUAAUAAACCGGAGGAAGGUGGGGAUGACGUCAAAUCAUCAUGCCCCUUAUGACCUGGGCUACACACGUGCUACAAUGGUUGGUACAACGAGUUGCGAGUCGGUGACGGCAAGCUAAUCUCUUAAAGCCAAUCUCAGUUCGGAUUGUAGGCUGCAACUCGCCUACAUGAAGUCGGAAUCGCUAGUAAUCGCGGAUCAGCACGCCGCGGUGAAUACGUUCCCGGGCCUUGUACACACCGCCCGUCACACCACGAGAGUUUGUAACACCCGAAGUCGGUGAGGUAACCUUUUGGAGCCAGCCGCCUAAGGUGGGAUAGAUGAUUGGGGUGAAGUCGUAACAAGGUAGCCGUAUCSGGAAG